rnacentral:lncRNA from 1 species
CAUCACCAGGGGCUGUGAAUCGGGGAAAAUGGGGAGAUGCUGGCCAAAGGGAUGAAGUUCUGGGGCUCUAAUGUAUAGCCUGCUGACUGUAGUUAACAACAGUGAAUUGUAUUUUCAAAUUCCUAAAAUUUGCUAAAAGACUAGAUCUUAAGUGUCCUCACCAAAAAAAAGAGAAAGAAUAAAAGGAAAAAACAGAAUAACUAUGUGAGAGGAUAGAUGUACGAAGUAACUUGUGCUAAUCAUUUCACAAUGUAUGUGUAUAUCAAGUCACCACACUGUACGCUUUGAAUGUAUCUAGCUUUAUUUGCGAAUUAUACCUCAAUAAAUCCAGGGGUUUAAAAAGUCAUGUGCAACACAGGACAGUUCUUCGUCAUGUGAGGUUAUAUCUGAGGGACCCCAGUACCCUGGUGAGAACCAAACCUAUCUAGAACUGUAAACAUGUGGGCGAGGAAACUGAGGCUCAGAGAAAGGAGGUGGCUUGCUUGACAGAUUAAUUUGCUGAGGUCCCAUCUUGAUGCAGGAUGUUCCUUGGGUCCUUACGGUUUAAAUCAAAUUGUUAAUGAUUCAGUUCCUCUCAUUUCCUUCUUCUCCUCUCUGGGUAUGUAUUCUCUUUUCCUUUGGCUCUGACAGAAUAUAUCUGAAAUGAUACACAUGUUGAAAUUUAACAGUCCUGCAAUUAAAUAUGCUAAAUCUUGAGUAGAUUUCCUUGCUGUGGGAUGUCGCAGAUGGUUUAUAUCUUACACGGAAGUGAAUGUAUUACCAAUUUAUACUGCUCAAAGAUUUUAUGGAUGCCCUGAAUUGACUGCUGCUUGUUUCCAAAUCUUUGUGCUGGCAGGAUGCAGAUCGAGAGCAUCACAGAGGCAUCAGGUGGAUGUGGAUUUGCGUCCUUGCUUUAUCAUCUCCCAGCUCUGAGACCUUAGGGCAGGGCGUUAAUCUCUUUGAACAGCAUUUGCAUCAUUUGUUUAAAUGAAUAGAGUGACGACUUCCAGUCACUCUCACUUUCCUGAGCAGGCUGUGAUGCUUCGCACUGCUGAGCCCCUCUGCCUGGCAUUCCUGCCCACCAUUGUCCUGAAGAAGUCCUACUUGCCUUUCAAAGCCCUGCAUGAUGCACACUUCUGUGUGAGAAUUCUCCUGACCACCUCCUCAGGAGGGUCCUCCUUGCUUUGGGCUUCCCUAGAAUUUUGUACAGGCCUCUCUUUAACCCUUAUCUGUCAUGUUGAAAUGAGCUCUUUACUGCUCCGUCUCCUCCACUCGAGAAUGACUCUGUCUUACUCAUCUUUGUAUCCUCAGAGCCUAACUUGGGGCCAGCUCAGAGUGAGGCCUCAAUUACGUUGUAUUGAUGGUCCGUAUCGGCCACUCUUGUCAUCACUUUCUCUCCUUCCUGGCCUCCCGAGGCAUUUGUGGCCCAGAACGAUACCAUUCAUGAUGGCACGAAGUCAUCUUCCUCCUGGUAAUGAUUGCUCUUGAAUGGUCUCUGGAUAUGAGUCUGGGCUUCUCAGCGUGACUGAAUUCCAUAAGAGCCGGACACUCUUGUAUUUCUUUCUGCACAGUGCUUGGACACAUGGUAAGUUGUUCACUCCCAAAGUAUGACUUUGAAUGGCACUGUGCUAUUGGGAUGUCACUGUUUCAUUAGCACUGUGGAUAGCAAUUUGCCAGAAAAACAGGAAUCUGUGCUUUGGCAGAAAUGAUCUCGCCCAGGCUAGGGGGGUUCUCUCUUCCACUCAGCUGGUGACAAUGGAUUUUAUCAUUACAAAUGAGCCCUGGCACAAUGGACCGUGUUGGGUAUUUGAACUCUCGCCCAGUGUCGAUUCCAUGUGGUAGGUGUGACCAUCCCAAUUUUCCACCCUAAUUAUAUAAGCAAGUAUUCCAGAUGUUUUGGAGAUUGAUAUGGCCCCCAAAGAUAUUAGGAUGUAUAGUACACCAUUGAGAGGCCAGACCAUAGAGCUCUUGAGGGAUUGGAACAUCUAAUGAGUGAGUGGUUUUACAGAUUUUUUGAAUCGGGGCAUCAAAAGGCAUUCCAAAUUGUUAUGCACUUACAAAUAUUUACAGAUCUUUUAAAGAUCAAGUUUGUCGUUAUCGGGUUCGGUGCUGUAUCUUGUCAAUAGCCACAGUGACCCCAGAGGAGCCUGUGCUGGCAGGAGUAAUGCUGUGGCAUGUUCAGCUCUGCUGGAUCUCCACAGAGGGGGGCUGGAAUGCCUUGCGGAACAAUGCCCCGGGCUCCCGAGAGCAGAGGAUGAAGGGCAGCCGAGUUUGAUAACCACAUUAAAGCACUACCAACAUCUGUUCAAGCCAAAGACAACACUAUCUCCAGGAAUUAACCUUCUGAACCACUGAAUCGUUACCCUCAGCAGAGUGAAAGUUGGACAACAAGAGCCUAUUUGUCAGUGGUUCCUCAGAGAGACACGGUAAAGCCAUAUUUUACUGCAAACAGCGUGAGACGGCCCGACUCGGCUUUAUACAUUUUAAACACGGAAUAUAUUUGUGUGGGAAACAAGCAGACAAUGAACAUAAAUAAACUUUUGAUGAUACCUUGCAACUUGCAGCGUUUAUGCCACCUCGGAACAAGUGGACCGUGGCGCAUUGCCCCAGAGAUUCGAAUAUCCUGGGUUUGUUUGUUUCCCCCUUAUUUUGAUGAAACGUCAGGUGUCAAUGAUGAGAGUAUUAACAGUAUGCAAGAUGCACUUUGCAUUAAUAGAAAAGAAAUAGAAUUUACUAUAAGUAAUAAUAACUAGUUGGAUGGGCUGUGUGAAGCUGGAUCAGAUGGAGAGGGAGGCAAGGAGGAUGGAAAGGGAAAAUCUAAUGAAAUAAAAUUUUUAGAAUGGAAACCAGCACAGACAGCCUGUCAUCAAGACUUGGAAGACUCUGGAAUUUGGAGGUAUAUUUCUCACAGGGAAGACUGUCUGCAGCUUCUACUCUGAUAGUUGUUAUUUUUAUUUUUACUCUGAUAGGUUUUAAGCCUUGCACCACACUAAUUCAAAGGUCCAUCUGCUGCAGCUUUUAUUUUCUGAUACAUUCUUAAUUGCAAUUAAUAGGCUUUUAUGCCAAGUCUGUCUCAGAAGACUGAGAUUAAACGGAGCUUUGUCCUCAGAUUAGUGCCUGAAACAUAUAAAACUUUAGAUGCAGGAUGCUCUCGUCUAGCUGUUCUACCAACAUGGUCCAUGUGCUCUGGGGGUUUCCAGGACCCUUCAAGGGAGUUUAUGAGACCAAUACUUUUUAUAAUAAUACGAAGACCUUAUAAGCCUUUUCCACUGUGUUGACAUUUGCUCUGAAGGUGCAGAAGCAGUGGUAGAGAAAAUUUCUGGCAUGUCAGCAUGAAUCAAGGCAGUGGCACCAAGCUGUACUAGCAGACAUUGUACUCUUCACUGCCAAGCACUC